UACGGAGGGAGCUAGCGUUGUUCGGAAUUACUGGGCGUAAAGCGCGCGUAGGCGGUUUUUUAAGUCAGGGGGGAAAGCCCAGUGCUCAACACUGGAACUGCCUUUGAAACUGGAAAACUUGAAUCUUGGAGAGGUCAGUGGAAUUCCGAGUGUAGAGGUGAAAUUCGUAGAUAUUCGGAAGAACACCAGUGGCGAAGGCGACUGACUGGACAAGUAUUGACGCUGAGGUGCGAAAGCGUGGGGAGCAAACAGG
rnacentral:rRNA from 1 species